UAGUUAGCUUCCCCGAAGAGCCCUUCGAAGUUACUUUGCUUUUCCGAAGAAAAUUAUGACAAAGCCAAGUCUUUACUUUCUUGGUUUUUUUAAUCUUUAUCGUGCUUAACACAUUUAAAGUUUGUUGAAUCUCAUUGAUGUUUUUGUGUUCGAAGGACAAUUAUUGUUUUCUAAAUUUAUGAUGUAUUUUAGUUUUUUUUCACCAAAAAGUACAAGUGGGAGUUUUCUCUGGGACUGCCACUAUGUCACCAGAGGCUCUUGAGGUUACCAGACGAAUUCUUAUGAAGUGUGUUGAGCUCAAUCUUAAUUUUAAGAUAUUGUCAUCUCUCCAAAAAAAGCGUAUGAUGGUCAUGAAGAAAUUGUUGGACGAGAAGAAAAAGACUUGGAGAUUAAAGUUGCAAAAAGGAUAACAAGGAGUUGAAGAAGAGAUCCUUGGUAAGAAGGAUGGGUGGUCCACCAAUUCAUUACAACUUUAGAGAGCAAAACAGGAUGUUGGAUGCUUUGGCUAAGGAAGGAGUGAAGUGUAAUCAGUUUGCAGAUUGUAUGUUUUUAGAUCCCCCCCCCUUUUGUAGCCCGUGAAAUCUGGGCGGAUAAGAUAGGAACUUACUAUCGUAGGGAUGUUUCACCCACUGUGCCUUCUUUUGGGCAUAGCCCAACUGUUUUUGUAGUUAAGCCAGACUAGGAUCAUGAACUGCUCUAACAUUUCUAAUUAAUGCAUAUAUCUACUU